ensembl:lncRNA
CUACCGCCACGCGGUAUCAUUGCGCGUUGUAGCGUGAAGCCCGGGGCUCAAACGCCUUCACCGCCAUCCGACAAUUAACGCCUGCAAUCAUGUGCGCUUCUUCUUCCCCAAAAACAAGAAACCCAAGUGAAAACCCCGAAUGACCUCAGCUGGCGAUUAGGAGUCGAGACGAUGCGCCUGAGACGAUUGAUCCUGUAAGCAGAUCCAGGAGUAGAGGAUCUGCUUGUCGGACAAAGAUUGAUGCGAGACUUCGCCAAAGCCCUCCUCGCUCAGGACGUCUCCAGCUCGCCGACCUGCGGCAGAUUAUCUGCCGAUGACUUUUGGGCUUCUGAUUCUCGUCUUUAGUUCUAAAUAAUUGGCAAAGCUGCUGAAAAAUAAAACACUCUGUGCAUUUGGGCGAGUGAUGCUUACUUCCUAAGGAGGCCGCAUGGUGUUCUUCAGCGUGACAGCGGAGAGGCCGACUGGACGGAGAGGAGGAUGUGCCUUCAUUCUGCACCGGAGCAGAAGCAGCCCGCAUCGAGGAAAAUAAUAAUAAUAAUAAUAA